UCUCUAACGAAGGAUAAGAGAACAGUACAGAAGACUCACUCAUCCAGAGAACUGUCAUGUCUGCCACUGAGUACAUUAAGUACCACGGUCUCCUCCUGCCCCUGGUGGCCCACACCGCGGAGAGCUUGGAGUACGCCCAAAAUUUCUGUGUGGAAAACACUGAUGUGUUUGCCAUCACUUAUCCGAAGUCAGGUACAAUCUGGAUGCAGGAGAUCCUCCCACUGGUGCUGAAUGGGGGGGAUCUGACCACCAUACAUACCAUUCCUAACUGGGAGAGAGUCCCAUGGCUAGAAGAGAAACAACUGGCACGGGUGGUGGAUAAGCUGGCAUCUCCACGGGCACUGGUCUCACAUUUUCCAUACAACCUCAUGCCCCCUUCCUUCUGUGCCUCCAAAGCAAAGGUGAUCUACGUCAUGAGGAACCCAAAGGACAUCAUGGUGUCUUCGUACUACUUCCACCAGAUGGCCGGCUUCCUUGAGGAUCCAGGAACUUUUGAUGAGUUCAUGGAUAAAUUUCUUGAGGGCAAAGUGAUGUUUGGAAAAUGGACAGACCAUGUAAAGAGCUGGAGAAACAGCGAACUAGGAGACAGAAUAAUGUACAUUACCUACGAAGAAAUGGUUCAGGACCUGCCUGCAUCACUCAGGCGUAUCUCCGAUUUUCUGAGCUGUAAUCUGACUGAGGAAGUCAUUCAGAAGAUAGCAGAGCAUUGUUCUUUCAAGAGCAUGCAGAACAACAACAUGUCCAACUUCAGUCUGAUCCCCAAGGUGUACAUGGACAGUGACAAGUCUCCUUUUCUAAGAAAAGCUUGGCAUGUUUUUGUUGUCAGGUAUUGCUGGAGACUGGAAAAACCACUUCAGCUCAGAGCAACUGACCCGAUUCACCUCUGUGAUUUCCAAAGAGCUGGAGGGUGAGAGCUUCUCUCUGCCAUGGAGCCUGGAUUGACCACCAUAGAGAUCAGGAGUGGCAAAAAUCCUGGCCUGUUAUUUCAGACAAAGCGUCUAUUGAACGCAACAAGAAAUUGGCCCACUCCCGCUCCACCAAAGCAAGAACACAAACAGUCGUAUCUUUUAAAGUGCUAAGCAGCCAUUUAUUAGCUUCAGCAGUGAGCAGUGCCAAAAAUAACAAACAAAACUCCCUAAUGGUCCCUACACUUUCCUACACAAAAAUGAAAACUAAACAAAAGACAAAUUCACUUACCUAACUUCCUAAAUGAAAAACAGGAGAAAACGUAAUCAACAAAAAUGGCUUCUCACGCCUACUAGGCUGCUGCAGUGAAGGAUAUAUACAAGGUGAACAAAGUGUACGAUUGCUACUUGACAAAUCUAUUUACAGCUAUUUACAAAAUUGACAUAAUAACGCCAGACACACACACAAGGUUAUACUGGCUAAUCACUUUGUCAAAGAAACUCUACACUGCAACGAAUCAACACACAGGUUCUUGGUUGAAUGGUGGAGGUUAGGAGAGAGGGGCCAGGUGGCUGCCAUCUGGUAGUUAAAUACUGCAGGUGAUUAGCCAAUUAUCCAAUCCAAGGACACGAAGAGACUCCGCCCAGCUACUCAGCAGGCACGCCCAGGUGUCCACCUCCUAAGAGAGAAAAGGGGAAGAAACCCACAGCCAUCCUCUGGUUGGAGGAGUCACACAUAAAACAAACACAACAUUGGAUCAUAACAUGUCUUUUUUAGUAAGCACUUUUUAACUUAUUUUAUCUCUAAUAAUUAUUUACGUCUUCAUUAUUUUAAUAUGUUAUUUUUUGCCUCUGGGAAUGGAUUAACUACUUCAGAUUUAACUUUAAAAGUCAUCAAAAAUUAUAAUUUGCCCAGUGAGUCUAAACUCAUGCACCAAAAUGUACUAUGUGAAUACUUAAUGUCUGUAACUUUGGUAUUUUCUAAUCAUAAAAUACAGGUUAUCACCUAUUUGUAUAUGUGUGACUCAUAUUGACUCAUAAUUUAACAGAAAUGAUGCCUUGCAAGAGGAGUAAAAAUAUCCCCGAUAUCAUGCAAAACAGCCUGUCAUUAUGUGUCUUCAGCUUAGUGGAGUCAGCACAUCCUGCUUAUGUAGGAUGUCAUAUUUUAGUAUUAUUAUGUCGUUAUAACUUAUAAUUGCUUCAGGUUCACAGAUUGGUUAGAGCCUAUCCCAGCUGCCAUAGUGCGAGAAGUGUGGUAGCUGAAAACACUCCACAGGAAGUCUGGGGGUCUAAAUCUGUCUGAAUGUACUGAAAUAUGUUGUUAAAGUGCUUCAGAUAAAAAAAAA